CUCCAACUCUGCUGCAACUAUAAAAGCUAGCUGCUAAACAUUAGCCAUCCUUUGCUUUUCUUGAAGCUGAAAUGCUGUAACCAGAGUCUGUCUUAAUGCUGGUGGUGCUACAGACUUCUAAAACCAUGUCACCAUACCAGGAACUCUGCCACAGAAGUGUCCAGUCAUUCCAGCCAAGUGGAUGCAAAUGUGAUGUUUUAGAACUAACCAACUGAUUAAACAAGUGGAAUCUGGUAUGCUGCUGGUAGUUGAGAAAUAGGAACCUGUAAACCGAACUGAAGUUCAUUAGUUUGUAAUAUAGAAAAUGUUUUUUUUGUUGUUUUUUGUUUUAUUAGGUUUUUAAAAAUGAGAUUUACUGAAUGUUUGACAGUUUUGUAUGUGUUCUGUGCCUUGUGUUACUUCUGUAAACGUGCAAGUUUUUAAUAAAGAUCAUUUGGUCAUUUGA